CAGAAUCGCGUCGCUAAAGUUGAUAGAUACGCUGGUCCUUCCGUCUGCAGCUGCACUCUUGAUUUAUAGUGAUCUUCUGAUCACAAAUCCUUUACAUUUGCUACGUGCUGACCGGUACGCACGAAAACCAGGAGUUACUGUUUAAUAGGAAAGGAAAACCGAAGGACGAAGCGUUUACACUGGGCGAAGGUGUUCUUCAUCUCCAGCGCUUCCCACUAUACGGACACCAGCGCGAAAGAGCAGCAGAUCCUCAUCCACACGACUGCAUAUCAGCGUAACGGAGCCUAUGCGGUUUAAAUCUUAAGGAGAUGGGACAUGGGCUUCUGCCCAAAGGAGAACGUUUCCAACUCUGCCCCUAUAGCUGUGACCGGUUUGCCGUGAGGCCCCGUAUCCCCCUCUAAUGAUGAUGCCAGGAUCCAUAAUUUUCCUGACAGCUAGAGUGGGAAGUGGGCCGUGUUCCCUCACUGCAGCUGAGAGAGUGUGGACUGGAGCGCUGCCACAUGUGGGAUGGGAUUUCAGGAGCACUAACCCGACUGGGACUGCAGGAGCAGAAUGAGCCAGUCCUGCCCAAUUCCAUUACAGCCUCCCCUCGUCCUGCCUCAUGCAUCUCCACUCCAUCCUGUCACCUGAUGUGAGCACUGUAUGGCUGGCUGGCUGAUCAGAGAAUGUUUUACCCUUCUGUGAAUAGACUAACAUCUUCAUAGUUCAUAUGACAUUAAAAAAGCCUGGAUUGGAAUAUACUCAUCCAAAAUCAGCUGUCAGAC